GGGUCAGUAGGUUGGUCGUGCCACCGGUACGUACUGGUCUCACUGAUUCCUCCUUCCUGAAGAACCGUAAUGCCAUUAAUUUGGUGUUGCGGGGAAACAGGACUGUUACUUUGAAAAAAUUAGAGUGUUUAAAGCAAGCUAACGCUUGAAUACAUUAGCAUGGAAUAAUAAAAUAGGACGAUCGAACCUAUUUUGUUGGUUUCUAGGAUUGACGUA
rnacentral:rRNA from 1 species